ensembl:lncRNA
AACACCGGAGCUAACAGAUGGUAACCACAACAACAGUAGCUCUGGAAACAACAACCUUGUGGAAAACUCUUCCUCUGCUACGCAGGAAAUAGAUUCGGUUACCAUGGAGAUCAGCUCACCACCACCACCACCAACAGACCUAGAAAGAGGCAACUUAUUUAGCAGCCAUAGUCAGGAAGUGCAGGAGCUUCAGUACCCAGAGGUCCAUGGGGAGGAAAACGACGCUGCAGAACUUGAAAGUGGAAAAAGAGAUGGAGAUGAAUGUGACUACCUUGUGUUUGAGAUAGGAGAGCAGACGGGGAAAAAGGGAGGGAGUGAAAGUGAAGUGGGACAAGAUGCAGAGAGAAGAAGACAGGGAGAAGAUGGAGGAAUAGUAGAGGAUGAAGAGGCGGAGGGAGAAGAAGUAGGGAGAGGGGAAUCAGAAGGAGAGGUUGAAGAGAGAGGAUUGGAGAGAGAAGAUGAAGGUAGAAGAAAUGUUAAAGGAGAAGAUGAAAGUAAAGGAAAAAAAGAGAAAGACAAUGGGGAGAAAAGUGAAAUGGAUGAAGAGCAUGAAGGGAGAGAAAAAAUAGAGGCUGAAGAUGAAGGAAGUGGAGCAACAGAGGGAAAAGACGGAGGGAGAGAAAACACAGAGGCAGAAGAUGAUUGGAGGGCCCAGAUAGUUGGAGAAGCAAAAGAAGAUGCUUUAUUAGAGCUUCUCUUCAUCUCUGACAGUCCACUGUGUCCUUCAUUAUCAGAGCCCCUAGUUGUCACCUGUCCUUCAGAGCAGUCAGCAGGGACCAUGAUGCAGGAUGCCUGGGUUAACAACCUUGGCAACAGAGAUGACCUUAGUGAUGGUCACCUUAGCGACUGCCUUCAGGCUGAGCUGGCUAUUGUGUACUCAGACAGUGACACUGGAGAUGACCAGUGGGCAGCCUUCACACUAUCUGAUGUCACUAGCCAGGGGGAAGCAGUUGGAGGGAUACAUGAUUGCAUAUGUGAUGGAAAGAACAAGGAAGAGCAGAGAGCAGGAGACCAUGAAGAAAGACAAGCAGAAGAAGAUAAGAUAGAGACUGAAAUAGAGGAGCAGAGAGAGGAGGAAACAGAGAAUGAGCAUGAGGUGAGGAGGGUAAGUAGGGAUGAUGAUAAAGAGCAGAUGAGGUCAAGGAGAGAUCUUUUCCUGCGGUCCCCUUCUGUCAGUUCCACAGCCAGCUCCACAGACCCUGACAGGAGGGUUCCUGUAGAUUUCUGUGUGCACCAGGAGACCCUCAGUGAAAAUGUCUCCAAUGAGCACGUAGACUUUCUGUUGGCCCGACAGCAGUGGAAGAAGUUGGAGGAGGAAGUGAAAGGACAGCCCAUUCCUAAACCUGGGCUCAGAGCUCAGGGAAGCUUCCAGGGAACACACACUUCACUAUACCCCCCAACUCGCAGCCCACGCCUCAAACACAGGGAGAUCCAUCCCCCAUUCCCCAGGGAGCCCCCUGUGUCCUGCACACUGUCUCCCAGUUCAGAGGACUCAGGCCUUGAUGACCUAUCAUACCGCAGCCCCCUGGAGGAGCCAGAGAGUGCUGUGGAAAAAGAGAUCCGACUGACUCUGGAGAGAGACGAAAGACACCGCAGGGAGAGAGGGAUUAUUUCACAGGGUCUGGCUAUACCCAGACCAUCCACCCUACAGACAGGAAGGUCGCCACCCCGACCACCGGCCUGCCGCACCCCUACUCUGUCCAUC